GGGUAACUCGACGUCUGGUGAGCUAGGGUCGUCAGUGCUCGAGGCGCCAGAUCCCUUACUCUCCAGCGAUGUGAUGUGAUGGCCGCCGGCCAUCUUGCUCAGCCCGUUCGUUCAACAGUUAUAAGGCGCGUUGGUGUCUCCGAUGUGCUGCUCAUGAUGCCACUGAAAGCUUCGUUUCCUUUGUCGGAAAUUUGGUCGGCUUCAUAGCGAUGGCUCCGAUCGUCGACAAUGAGGAUGACCUGGAGAAUCUUGCAAGGACCUGGAUGUAAUUUGUUUCUCUUUCAGAGUUGUCUUUGUAAGAUGGGAUGUAAACUAUCAGUUUUUACGUGAAUGAUAAACCCGGUUUCAAAAAAAAA
rnacentral:lncRNA from 1 species